UUUCCAGUGUUUCAUUAGUCAAAACAAGUCAGGGUUCAAAACGUCAGAUACCGUCUAGUUCGACCAAAACAUCCAAAACGAUCCCCCGGGUUGUUUAAUGACUCGGAGGCCCCCCGGGGAAACCAAAUUUUUUUGGGUUGGGGGUAUGUUAAAACAAACAAAAAUUAAAGGGGGGAACCCCCGGAGUGGACCUGCCUUUUGACUCAACACGGAAAACUACCCGGGGCCUGGGAUUAAGAUUAAACUUUUUCUUGAUUCGGUGGGUGGGGGGCAUGGCCGUUCUUAGUUGGGGGCGUUUGCGGUUAAUUCCGAUAACAACGAGCCUAGCCUAAAAAUGUUGGAUCCCCUUUUGCGUCGGCAACUUUUUAAGGACAAGUGGCUUUUUUAACGAGAUUACAAUCGGGUCUGUGAUCCUUAGUUUCGGGGCCGCACCCACUAAAAGAAUCAGCGUGUCUCCCUUGCCUGGAAGGUCGGAAAAUUGAACCUCCCGUGCUAAAUUGGGGCUUUUUUUCCCCCCAAACGAGAAUUUCCCCAAUGGGGCACCCCGGCUCGCUUGUUACGCCCUCCCUUUUUCCCCCCCGUCCUACUCCCGGGGGGUUUUAUGACGCCUCGGUUGGACGGAAAUGGUUGGAACAACCUCCUUUUAACCAAAAAAGGGGAAAACAAACGCCUAAGAGAAAGUCGUAACAAGGUUUUCCGUAUGAACCUGGGGAAAGGAUC
rnacentral:rRNA from 1 species